rnacentral:rRNA from 1 species
UACGAAGGUGGCAAGCGUUGUUCGGAUUUACUGGGCGUAAAGGGCGCGUAGGCGGCGCGGUAAGUCACUUGUGAAAUCUCUGAGCUUAACUCAGAACGGCCAAGUGAUACUGCAGUGCUAGAGUGCAGAAGGGGCAAUCGGAAUUCUUGGUGUAGCGGUGAAAUGCGUAGAUAUCAAGAGGAACACCUGAGGUGAAGACGGGUUGCUGGGCUGACACUGACGCUGAGGCGCGAAAGCCAGGGGAGCAAACGGG